GACGAACGCUGGCGGCGUGCCUAAUACAUGCAAGUUGAGCGCUGAAGGUUGGUACUUGUCCCGACUGGAUGAGCAGCGAACGGGUGAGUAACGCGUGGGGAAUCUGCCUUUGAGCGGGGGACAACAUUUGGAAACGAAUGCUAAUACCGCAUAAAAACUUUAAACACAAGUUUUAAGUUUGAAAGAUGCAAUUGCAUCACUCAAAGAUGAUCCCGCGUUGUAUUAGCUAGUUGGUGAGGUAAAGGCUCACCAAGGCGAUGAUACAUAGCCGACCUGAGAGGGUGAUCGGCCACAUUGGGACUGAGACACGGCCCAAACUCCUACGGGAGGCAGCAGUAGGGAAUCUUCGGCAAUGGACGAAAGUCUGACCGAGCAACGACGCGUGAGUGAAGAAGGUUUUCGGAUCGUAAAACUCUGUUGGUAGAGAAGAACGUUGGUGAGAGUGGAAAGCUCAUAAAGUGACGGUAACUACCCAGAAAGGGACGGCUAACUACGUG
rnacentral:rRNA from 1 species